rnacentral:rRNA from 1 species
GUGUCAGCAGCCGCGGUAAUACGAAGGGGGCUAGCGUUGUUCGGAAUUACUGGGCGUAAAGCGCGCGUAGGCGGUGAUCUAUGUCAGGGGUGAAAUCCCGGGGCUCAACUCCGGAAUUGCCUUUGAAACGGGAUCGCUAGAGUCCGAGAGAGGAUGGCGGAAUUCCUAGUGUAGAGGUGAAAUUCGUAGAUAUUAGGAAGAACACCGGUGGCGAAGGCGGCCAUCUGGCUCGGUACUGACGCUCAGGCGCGAAAGCGUGGGGAGCAAACAGGAUUAGAUACCCUGGUAGUCCACGCCGUAAACGAUGGGUGCUAGUUGUUAGGAAGUUUACUUCUUAGUGACGUAGCUAACGCGUUAAGCACCCCGCCUGGGGAGUACGGUCGCAAGAUUAAA